CAAUGUAACGUUAUUAUCCAAAUGGGAUUUGAACAGAUUAUUAUCCCAGUAUUAAAUGUACUAUUAGUGAAAAGUUAUUAAUAAUUAAUCUUUUCUCUUCACGUGUGCUAAACUCUCCCUAUCCUUUUUCUCCUUCCCUGUUCUAAAAACCCACUUCAACAUUGAAGCAAACCGUGCAACCAUGGCGGUACCGUCACGAGACUCGGAAACCACCAUCAAAUUCCUAAUCGAACAAACACUCUUAAACCCAGAUUUAAACCAGUAACUUUUUGCAAAAC
rnacentral:lncRNA from 1 species